rnacentral:lncRNA from 1 species
GCAGGAAUAAUGUCAUCUCAUUUGGCUAUAUAUGCCCUAGGACGAUUGUUGUUUCUUACUCUACGCCAGGUGGGUUUAGAUUCAUUGGGAUGGGAUUUAAGAAAAUUAUUUUUCUUUUUUUGAUCAGGUUUGUGUGCGUACCUUUUGGGAGCAACAACAACUCCAUACACGUCUAAAAGCGAUUGUUGUAAAAAACUGAUAGAAUCACUAUCCUAGGAUACAACAUGAACUUCUCAGAAUUUCUGAGGAUCUCAGAAUUAGCAAGGAUCUCUUAAAAUAGUAUAGAAACAAACCCAGAAUAUUUCUUUUGGGUGUUACUCCUUCCACCCCCACCAAUACUCCCUGCACCUGCUCAAACUUCUUCAAAAAAAUUUUAAUUACAAAAAUAUCCAUCUCAUUUUCACUCUCUGGUGCCGCCCCCACCCCCAUCCUACUUUUUCCAAAUCUGUUUGACAUACUUCCUAACAUACACUCUUCUCUACACCUCCCCAAUUAUUUUAUUUCCAAAAAUACCCAAUAAUUUUUAGUUUUACCAUUUAACUUUUUAGUUUAUUUUUUCUAAACCCUAAUUCACUUUUAACUUUCCCUUUUUACUCUUCCUUCAGUCGCACCCCACUUCUCCACCCCCACAACACACAUCAAAAUGAUCUCUUUCAUUCCUCCACCCUCACAAAAUUCUCUCUUUCACUAGUCCAUCCCCAAACGUUCUCUCUUUCCCUUCCUUCUUCUCGUUGUCUUCUUCUGUUGGAAUUCAUUUUCCAUUUUCGGUUCUUCUAUCCAGUGAGAGGUGUGCCUUGUUCGUUUGUGGAGGGGUGUAUCUUUCGUUCGUGGAUGUUUCGUGGCUGAAGACCAGGUUGUAUUUCAUUGUUGUUGUUUAGGUGUUGUAAACAUACGGUUGGAUUUUGUUUAAGUUUGGUUUCCUGUAUUGAAGAGGGUGUUGGAUUUUGCUCAAGUUUGGUUUCCAGUAUUGUAUUUUGUUGUUCUGUUUAUUCAUUCAUUCUACAUCACUUCUAUGUUGAACGGAUGUCAAUAUGCAUUACCGUCUUAGACGAAUGUCAACAUCCGUAAUAUAACAUCCGUUGGUUAAUUAAGUGGUUGGU